GAUGAACGCUGGCGGCGUGCCUAAUACAUGCAAGUCGAGCGAACAGAUGAGGAGCUUGCUCCUCUGACGUUAGCGGCGGACGGGUGAGUAACACGUGGAUAACCUACCUAUAAGACUGGGAUAACUUCGGGAAACCGGAGCUAAUACCGGAUAAUAUAUUGAACCGCAUGGUUCAAUAGUGAAAGACGGUUUUGCUGUCACUUAUAGAUGGAUCCGCGCCGCAUUAGCUAGUUGGUAAGGUAAUGGCUUACCAAGGCAACGAUGCGUAGCCGACCUGAGAGGGUGAUCGGCCACACUGGAACUGAGACACGGUCCAGACUCCUACGGGAGGCAGCAGUAGGGAAUCUUCCGCAAUGGGCGAAAGCCUGACGGAGCAACGCCGCGUGAGUGAUGAAGGUCUUCGGAUCGUAAAACUCUGUUAUUAGGGAAGAACAAAUGUGUAAGUAACUAUGCACGUCUUGACGGUACCUAAUCAGGAAGCCACGGCUAACUACGUG
rnacentral:rRNA from 1 species